rnacentral:tRNA from 1 species
GUCUUCGUGGUGUAACGAUUAGCACACUUGGCGCGUAAUCGAGAGAUCCAGGUUCAAUUCCCGGUGACGGCA